rnacentral:rRNA from 1 species
CCGCCUGGGGAGUACGGCCGCAAGGUUAAAACUCAAAUGAAUUGACGGGGGCCCGCACAAGCGGUGGAGCAUGUGGUUUAAUUCGAUGCAACGCGAAGAACCUUACCUGGUCUUGACAUCCACAGAAGAAUCCAGAGAUGGAUUUGUGCCUUCGGGAACUGUGAGACAGGUGCUGCAUGGCUGUCGUCAGCUCGUGUUGUGAAAUGUUGGGUUAAGUCCCGCAACGAGCGCAACCCUUAUCCUUUGUUGCCAGCGAUUAGGUCGGGAACUCAAAGGAGACUGCCAGU